GCCCUUGAAAAGAUAUCAAAGGCGCCCAAUAUCCAACUAACUCAAGUUGAACGGACAGAAAUCAACUGUAGAGUACAAAAGCACAAGUUCUAUUGAUGUCAUAUCUCAAGGCAAAAUAUGGCAGAGCGAGAGUUGGGUUUAGCGAACUACGAACUGAUGUAUUGUUCAUAAUGAAUUACAUUACUGAUAGAGUUAAUGGAACACUACAUUGCGACAGUACCCAUCAACCAAAGUGUUUGUUACUUC
rnacentral:rRNA from 14 species